rnacentral:misc_RNA from 1 species
AACAGCUUCCACCGCCGACCAUGGCGCAAGGAGCCAUUCCUCCUCCACCUUCAUCAGGUGUAAUAACUUCAGAGUCUCAAUUGCCUAUGCCCUCUUCACCUCUUCCAUUCGGAUGCAUGAAUUCCCCAAGAUCAGCAUACCCUUUGCUUUCGCCGAGCUUGCUGUUUUCGCCAUCGGCCGGUCCGUUAGGAUAUCCACAGUUUCCAUUGUCACCCACUGUGCCAGUGCCUAGCCCCAGAUGGAGAGGUCUGUGAGUUUUCAUACUCAUAUGGUAAGUUGAUAAAAAAUUCGUUAAUCUUUUGUAGUUUUUCACAGCUCUCAG